UUUUUAAUAUAAUAUUUGAUCCUUUCGUACUAAAAUAUUUUUUAUAAUUUAAGAUAGAAACCAACCUGGCUUACACCGGUUUAAACUCAGAUCAUGUAAAAUUUCAAAGGUCGAACAGACCUAAUUUUUUAGCUUCUUCACCAAAAAUAAAUUUUAAUCCAACAUCGAGGUCGCAAACCUUUUUUUCAAUAAGAACUAUUAAAAAGAUUACGCUGUUAUCCCUAAGGUAAUUUAUUCUUUUAAUCAUUUUUAUGGAUCAAAAAAUCAAUUAUCAUUGUAUUAAUUUUAAAAAAAGUUAAUUAAAUUUUUCUGUCACCCCAACAAAACUUAAAUUAAAUUAUUAAACCAAAAUUCUUAAAUUAAUAAAAUAAUUUUUAGUUAAACUCUAUAGGGUCUUCUCGUCUUUAAAUUUUAUUUAAGCUUUUUAACUUAAAAAUAAAAUUCUAAUAUUAAAUUUGAAACAGUAAUUUUCUCAUCAAACCCUUCAUACAAGCUUUCAAUUAAAAAACUAAUGAUUAUGCUACCUUUGCACAGUCAAAAUACUGCGGCCCUUCAAAUAUCAGUGGGCAGGCCAAACUUUAAAUUAAAUUC
rnacentral:rRNA from 1 species